rnacentral:lncRNA from 1 species
CCUUUGUGCUAUCUGAAACCUCCAGCAAGAAUGUUUAUGGGACAUGAGGGUUUGAUUCCAUCCUUUGCGUUGCCUAUGACUCCCCAUCAAAAGCAAUAUUUGUGUUUAAAAUUCAAUUACAGAGGAGAGAGAGGCCACAGCAACUAAGUUCAGAACGAGCUCCAACCUCCCCACAGCCUGGGGGUGUGAGGCGCCCAGGGCUAGGCUAGUCUCUGCUAAAGACCAGUGAUGCCAUCAGCCGGCCAUUACACCUGAGUCGUCGUUAAUGAGCUGGAAACAUACAAAUGCCUGGGUGAGUCUGGAGGGCCAUUAGAUUUUCCUGCACAGCUUUUGUUAUUGUCCUUAUGCCAGGACAUGAUUUCUGUCAUGUCACAUGUGGAGUCCCACUAAUGCAUUUUAUUAUUGCAGGGAUCCAACGAACGAAUGAUAAUAGAUAAAUAAGAUACACUAUGACAAGGCUGUGGGUAUGCAAGUACAGAUUGCAGCCGUGUGUCCUUCAGCAUGACGUGUAUGGAGCUCGUGGAAAGUGGGAGGUGACCAGAUGUCACCGGCUGGACCCUUCUGAAAUCAUCAGCUUUCCAGCAGAGAGACGUCCCCAUCCCAGUCCUUGGCCUUACAGCUGCCUCCAAACAAACCGUGUUUCCUUGCAAAUGAGGACAAGUUGCUUGAGGUUUCUGAAGGGAGACAGAGUGUUUACGAUAACCCAUCGCACAGAGAUGGUUCAAAAGAUGCUGGGAGCGAGGAGACGUUUUCCUCUGAAACAUUCACUGACCCGAAGGAACUGUUAA